UGAAGUUGUGAAAUUGAAAGCAUAAUUCAAGAAUCCAAGAUGUGUCUAACAUAGAAUAAACUAAAAUAAAUCUAAAUCUUGUCAUUUGACGACGAGUCAUGUCUACGAGAAGGCGGUGUAGGUAAGGCACCUAUGAGGACCGACAUACGAUUUUGGAGUAGUUGAUCAACUUGCUCACACACCUCUUGUUGCAAUUCGUAUCUCAUUUCUUCACGUAAUUCUUCUCUCAUUUCUUAUCUAAUCUCUUCUCUGAUCUGUGAUCUCAUAUCAUGCUUCAUCUCUUCCUUACUUUCUUGCAAAAAGAUGUCCGACACAUUCACCCGAGCAUUAAAGUCUAUAUCUUGAAGUGGAGAUAUCGAAAUAGAGGAUGCACCAACAUGCCCAUAUAAAGGAGCUUGAGAACCAAGACCAUAAAUGCGCGUCUUCUUAACAUCGACUUCCUCCAA
rnacentral:lncRNA from 1 species